rnacentral:rRNA from 1 species
AACGAACGCUGGCGGCAGGCCUAACACAUGCAAGUCGAACGCUCGUAGCAAUACGGGAGUGGCAGACGGGUGAGUAACACGUGGGAACCUUCCCUAUGGUUCGGAAUAGCUCAGGGAAACUUGGGGUAAUACCGGAUAAGCCCUUCGGGGAAGGAUUUAUCGCCAUUGGAUGGGCCCGCGUCGGAUUAGCUAGUUGGUGAGGUAACGGCUCACCAAGGCAACGAUCCGUAGCUGGUCUGAGAGGAUGAUCAGCCACACUGGGACUGAGACACGGCCCAGACUCCUACGGGAGGCAGCAGUGGGGAAGUAUUGGACAAUGGGCGCAAGCCUGAUCCAGCGAUGCCGCGUGUGUGAAGAAGGCCUGCGGGUUGUAAAGCACUUUCAGUAGGGAAGAAAACCCGAGUGACUAAUAUCACUCGGUCUUGACGUUACUUACAGAAGAAGCACCGGCUAACUCCGUG